AUGCACGCUGGCGGCGUGCCUCAUACAUGCCAGUCGAGCGAACGGACGAGAAGCUUGCUUCUCUGAUGUUAGCGGCGGACGGGUGAGUAACACGUGGAUAACCUACCUAUAAGACUGGGAUAACUUCGGGAAACCGGAGCUAAUACCGGAUAAUAUUUUGAACCGCAUGGUUCAAAAGUGAAAGACGGUCUUGCUGUCACUUAUAGAUGGAUCCGCGCUGCAUUAGCUAGUUGGUAAGGUAACGGCUUACCAAGGCAACGAUGCAUAGCCGACCUGAGAGGGUGAUCGGCCACACUGGAACUGAGACACGGUCCAGACUCCUACGGGAGGCAGCAGUAGGGAAUCUUCCGCAAUGGGCGAAAGCCUGACGGAGCAACGCCGCGUGAGUGAUGAAGGUCUUCGGAUCGUAAAACUCUGUUAUUAGGGAAGAACAUAUGUGUAAGUAACUGUGCACAUCUUGACGGUACCUAAUCAAAAAGCCACGGCUAACUACGU
rnacentral:rRNA from 1 species